rnacentral:lncRNA from 1 species
GUAUGAAUGGCAUGAAUGGCAUGAAUGGCAUGAAUGGAAUGAAUGGGAUGAAUGGGAUGAAUGGCAUGAAUGGGAUGAAUGGCAUGAAUGGCAUGCAUGGGAUGAAUGGCAUGCAUGGACCCCCCAUCAUGAGCAGAGAAGAAUUUGAGGCUCGGAAAGCUGAUUUGAGAAGGAAGCGUGAAAAUGAAAGACGGGGUCAAGGGUAAGAUUGAAAUCAUUAUUUCUUGUUGGAUUUGUGAUGCAUACAUUAUAACUUACACGUAUAUUAGAUAGAUGGCCAUACUAUGUGAGUUGGUCUACCAAAGUGUUUCGCCUCCUUUGUAGUCAUUGUAACUUUUGGACACUAUACGUGA